GGGGAUUUGGCUCAGUGGUAGGGCACUUGCCUAGCAAGCACAAGGCCCUGGGUUCGGUCCCCAGCUCCG
rnacentral:tRNA from 1 species